CAAGGUGAAACCUAAUUGGCCUGGAGAAGAGCUUGCGUCUGAUUAGCUAGUUGGUGGGGUAAAGGCCUACCAAGGCGACGAUCAGUAGCUGGUCUGAGAGGAUGAGCAGCCACACUGGGACUGAGACACGGCCCAGACUCCUACGGGAGGCAGCAGUGGGGAAUUUUCCGCAAUGGGCGAAAGCCUGACGGAGCAACGCCGCGUGAGGGAGGAAGGUCUUUGGAUUGUAAACCUCUUUUCUCAAGGAAGAAGUUCUGACGGUACUUGAGGAAUCAGCCUCGGCUAACUCCGUGCCAGCAGCCGCGGUAAUACGGGGGAGGCAAGCGUUAUCCGGAAUUAUUGGGCGUAAAGCGUCCGCAGGUGGUCAGCCAAGUCUGCC
rnacentral:rRNA from 1 species